rnacentral:sRNA from 1 species
CAAGCUUCUCCCAAGCAGCCUCAGACAUAUACACUUU